rnacentral:lncRNA from 1 species
ACCUCCCUGUUUCUCUCCGGGACCCAUCAAGAUAUCUCUGCCUCUAAUAAUCGCCUGGAUAGAAAUUUCCAUCUUAGCCCAAAGCAGCUCAACCUGGUUUUGACUAACGCCCCAUCUCCCUUUUUUUGUGUUCCUCUAAGUCAACAAGAGGACCUGGACGAGUCAGACCCUGUGUGGGAAGAUUGGAGAAAAGAAGGAAGGUAUGGAAACCACCAGAGAUGGAGAUAAGCUAAACAUCCUGGCAAGUUGUCACGGUGUACAGCUCGUGCAGAAGGCUGAGCAGUUGGGAAGGUAGUUUGCAGACUGGCUUUAAAUGCUUCAUCUAAUUGCAAGCAGCUGCCGAUUAGCAGAGCUUGCCCAACUGUUUUCAAUUCAGUGGUGAUGGAGAGAAUGAGCCUUGUAAGGGAAACUGGCAGGGUGGAGUGUAUGCAAAGAGCUGCUUACACUUUUUCCAGAGGUCACAGAGUGCAGUAACUACUAAGGGACACUCUCUAAAAUCACUGCAGGCCCUCAGGACAAUGAUUUUCCUCAACCUCACCACCGUUUCUCGAGUUUGGCGGGAGGCAAGCUUCCCUGUUAGCCGUAUUCCAGAGUGAUCUGGGGGGCAUGAUUCAUCAAUAGCUAGAUUUCAUGCCAGUUCAGAAGCGACUGUUUUCUGAUGGGGCAAUAAAAUCACAAUGAGAGGUAAUAAUAUCUUUUAAGUGUCCUCUUGGAUCGUUUCAUUCUUAAAAUUAAAAAAUAGGAAAGAGUA